rnacentral:misc_RNA from 1 species
GCUCUCUCCGCUCUUAAGAACUUCGAUGAUAACUUCUUAAGCGUCUGGAGUUGUGACCACGCGCGUAAAACAAUUACUGGGUUUGAAGCUGAUGCUGAUGAAAAUGAGUGUAAAUGUGUUGGGAAGGUGAGCAUGGUGGGAUGUCAUAUGCUAUCUUUGCAAGGAUGAGAACUUGAUGUGCCCUUCCACUGCCUUGAAAGCUCCUCUCUCUGUUCUGUUGCCUAAGAUUCCUGGCCUUGUCACGCAUGCAGAACCAUCUGCGAGCUUAUUAGGAGCAAUUGAUCUGAUCCUACAAGGAGCUCAAAAUCUGGUAGUACCAAUAAAUGCUAGACUCAAUUCCUCCAGUUCAAGAAGAAAACAGCAGCAGAAACUCUUGGUAACAACUAACACCCCCACAACCACCCACGGCGGCCGCGAAUUCUGCUGGCUAACUCAAGAAGAUAUAAUCAGAUUCCUUCUGAGCUCCAUCGGCCUUUUCUCUCCCCUACCGGCUCUCUCCAUCAACACCCUUGGCAUCAUCAGCCCUGACAUCUUUACCAUAGAUUACCAUUCCCCUGCUUCCUCUGCACUUGGAGCCAUUUCUCGCUGUCUCACAGAUCACACUUCGGUCGCAGUUGUUGAUGGCGAAGAGGGCAUCUUGAUCGGGGAGUUGUCACCAUUCACACUAGCUUGCUGCGAUGAGACCGUCGCAGCAGCCAUCACUACCCUGUCCUGUGGGGAUUUAAUGGCCUACAUUGACUGUGGAGGCCCCCCAGAGGACCUUGUCAGGAUAGUGAUGGCAAGACUGAAGCAGAGAGGCCUAGAAGCUAUGCUAAAACAAUUCACAAACUCUACAACAUCACUGUUCUCACUUUCAUCUUCAUCAUCAUCAGAUGAGGAGUCAGGAACACCAUUAAAUUGGUCAGGGAAGUACAGUAGGUCAAUGAGUUAUUCUGCAAGGUUGUUGAGAAGAGCAGAGGCAAUAGUUUGCUAUCCCAAGAGCUCCCUGGUGGCAGUGAUGAUUCAGGCAAUUGCACACAGAGUGAAUUAUGCGUGGGUUAUAGAGGAGGAUUGUAGCUUGAUUGGCAUUGUCACAUUUUGUAAUAUGCUGAAGGUUUUCAGGGAACAUUUAGAGGCUAUGGCCUAAAAAUGCUGAGCAGAGGAGUGAUGAGGAGCUUUCUAGUAAGUUUUGUCUUUUGGGUUUCAAUUAUCUGCUAAGGCUUAGAUGCUAAUGUGGUGAGAGCUUUGUUUGAGAAAAUAAAUGAUUAGGACUGUGAUGUGAACAUGGGAACUUUUUUCUUCACUUUAUGUUUGUGCUUUUUACUUCUUUCUUUUUUCAAUUUAUGUGAAAGCAGGAAACUAAGUAGACAUUGGCAGAUGAUGUUUCUGUAAUCUGACCCCUUUUUCCUUUUUAUAUUGUAUUAAUGGGC